rnacentral:rRNA from 1 species
AUACGGAGGACGCGAGCGUUAUCCGGAUUCAUUGGGUUUAAAGGGUGCGCAGGCGGCCAUUUAAGUCAGCGGUUAAAUCGUGGGGCUCAACCCCAUUCUGCCGUUGAUACUGGGUGGCUUGAUUGCGGUCGAGGUUGGCGGAAUUCGUUGUGUAGCGGUGAAAUGCAUAGAUAUGACGAAGAACACCGAUUGCGUAGGCAGCUGACCAGACCGCAAAUGACGCUCAUGCACGAAAGUGCGGGGAUCGAACAGGAUUAGAUACCCUGGUAGUCCGCACAGUAAACGAUGAAUACUUGUUUUCGGCGAUAUAAUGUCGGAGGCAAAGCGAAAGCGAUAAGUAUUCCACCUGGGGAGUACGCUGGCAACGGUGAAACUCAAAGGAAUUGACGGGG